CUGGUCCGCACGUGUCAGGACCCCACGGUUCCCGCUGAGCUGGAGCCCCGGCCAGAACCCGGGCUCCAACUCGUUCGCCCGGUGCCGGCGCUGAGAAGCGAACCGUGGCCACUGUGACUGGGCCCCCGACCCGAAUUCGGGGCCAUGUUUGAACCCACCACCUCUAGUAUAUGGGGCCAGUGCCCUACUCCUUUGAGCCAUAGGUGCCGCCCAAUCCUCACUCUGCAAGAAUAAAACCUGUAUCCUGCCCAAGGCUAGUGGUCAAGAGCAAAAGAUGCAGCUCCCUGCAACCUGACCUGAGUUGAGGAAAAGGAAAUGGAUUUGGAAAAUGUCUGGACACCAUGGCCACUUGUCUGACCUGACUCUGUUGCCUUGGAUAGAGUGCUAUGGCAUCAUAGCUCACAGCAACCUCAAACUCUUGGGCUCAAGUGAUCCUCUUACCUCAGCUGUUGAAGUAGUUGGGACUACAGGUGCGUAACA